UACGUAGGGAGCAAGCGUUGUCCGGAAUCAUUGGGCGUAAAGCGCGCGUAGGUGGCUUCGUAAGUCCGUUGUGAAAGUCAAAGGCUCAACCUUUGAAAGCCGAUGGAUACUGUGAAGCUAGAGUACGGAAGAGGCGAGUGGAAUUCCUGGUGUAGCGGUGGAAUGCGUAGAUAUCAGGAGGAACACCGGUGGCGAAGGCGGGUCUCUGGGCAACAACUGACGCUGAGGAGCGAAAGCGUGGGGAGCGAACAGG
rnacentral:rRNA from 1 species